CCUGUAUGUGGCCAGGCCCAUGGCGCACACCGACCACGUCUUACACCUAAAACUUGGAGAGAGCAUAAUUGUACUUCUACACCCCAAAUUGCACGUGGCGGCAGCUGAUCGGAGCUGCAACGUAUAAUUGUACUUUUACACCCCAAAUUCCUGCGCCAUUCCUAGGCUUUGAUGGAGUCAAACUUCCCCAACUGAUAGAUCGAGUACGGGUUCUCGUCGUGCACCCCCAGGCAUCCACCGGCUGCGGCGCCCGCCUCUCUCCCUCCCUCAGGCCAAGAGCUUCCCGUGUGGCUCUCUCUCCUCCGGCGAAGCUCGUCUCAGCUCUCCCUCCACUUCACCACGGACGGCGGCGCCCCUUGGCACAGCUCGACCGUCGAGGGCUAGGAGGUCCCUCCCGCACCGGCAACACGAGCACUGACCUCCCUGAGCCGCAGCCCUGCCUUCCAUUAAGCCGGUCCUCAUCCGCCCCUCACCGCGGGUUCGACGAGCUGCACGAAUGCCCGCCCUCAUCUACUGUCACGGUGAGAAACACGUGUACCUAACCUGUUCGGCAGAAUGCCUGUGAGGAAUAUUUGUUUAUUAAUCAAGUUUCCUUUAGUUCUUGUGAAGAUGAAAACGAAGUUGUUUUAAUUUACUCUUUUCAUUUGUGAUUUGAUUACCUUCAAGCAAUUCCCAAAAUGAAUGCCUGCAACACUUCCUUUGGAAGUUUGGAUCUUUUCAUGGGACUUCUCUUUUCCUUGAGGACUUGCCAUCUGUUUCACCAGCAGCAGUAGCUGCAGUUCCCUGGAAAGCUUUGAUGCAUUAGAUGGAUAACAAAUGUUUUUUUUGUUAAAACAAUGUUCCUUUGUGGUAGAUUCGUGUAGGCGUUAUUCUGCUGACUGUGGUACCCACUGUUAGGAUAAAUUUGCUGAUUUAUAAUUUGUUUUACGAUGACCUGAGAAGCUCGUUUUUCCAUGAUCUAAUCAUCGUCUCACAAGUAGAAACAUCAAUUACUGAAAUUUAUUCAUCUGCCGCUAGCAAUUUUGUUUAUCAGUUUAUUCUUGAUUGUUUCUACAAUUACUUGGGCUUGUAAAAUCUGACUGCGGUACAGCUCGCUGUACAGAACGGUAAAAUCCCUUGCAAAAUCUGAAGUAUUUGAUAGGGGAAAAUUCUAUACCUAUGUGAAUAAAUCUGAAUAUAGCAAGCCACUAUCAAUUCAGUUAAUUCAGGCUAACUAUGUAUAGUUUCAGUGUCAGUUUUUUUAUAGGAUCCUACAAUGUAAGAUCUUGUAAUGUAAGAUUCAGUUUAUUGAGGCUAACUAUGUACUUUCAGCAUACUUCAUGUAAUCUAAGAUCAGGCUAAAUUCCUAUAACGUAAGUUCCAAUUAUCUGAGUACAGCAAGCUCCUAUAAAUUCAGUUUAUUCAGUACCGUUCGCCGUACAGUUUAUUCAGAUUCAGGCACAAUAGAGCAAUAAAUUAAAAUUAUUUGAUAGGGGUUUGCUGUACUGAAUUUUGGUUCCAGAUUUUUUUCUAACCAUGUACUGAUACCAAAGUAAGGGUACAAUUAUAAUUAUAAUUCUGAAGCUAAGAUCUAAGAAGAAACCUGCAUCCAUGGCUCUGUUGGGACCGCAGCCCCUGGAACUGCAGUUGGGGUCGCUUUACCAUGAACUACAGGAGGAGAGCUUCCUGUAUUGGCCCAAUAGUCCAUUCCUAUGUUUAAGGUUGUAGUUGGACCAGGCACUGAACUACUCGAUGGCAUUGGCAUCGAUUGCCAAGAUUUGCUUCAAUUUUGCUUGGAUCUUGUUCUUGUCCAAUUUUGCUUGGGAGGCGGCAUUGGCGAGCUUGAUACACCAUUCUGGGAUCUUCGAAUUUCUGACAAUAAACACAUCGAAAUUAUGAAGCUUCAUAAAGUGCCAAAAGGGAAGCAAGCAGCCACAGAGAUUUAUUCUGUGCUUGCGCGACCAGUUUUUUUGCCAAACAAUUGAUAUUUGUGUUGAUGCCUAGGAGGGGCCAACUGCAUGAGUUCUUCUUUACCUUAUGUAUUGUGGCUGCUCAAGAGCUUGUGGCCAUUGUCUUGCCAUUUGGAAAUCUGAUUGUUGGUGAUUUUGCUAAGCAUUUGUAUGAAUGUGCAAUGUUAUGAUCGUGUGCUUUUGCCCGA